CCUACAGGUGGCAGCAGUGGGGAAUAUUGGACAAUGGGGGGAACCCUGAUCCAGCCAUGCCGCGUGUGUGAAGAAGGCCCUCGGGUUGUAAAGCACUUUCAGUGAGGAAGAACGCCUGGUGGUUAAUACCCAUCAGGAAAGACAUCACUCACAGAAGAAGCACCGGCUAACUCCGUGCCAGCAGCCGCGGUAAUACGGAGGGUGCGAGCGUUAAUCGGAAUUACUGGGCGUAAAGCGCGCGUAGGUGGCUUGAUAAGCCGGUUGUGAAAGCCCCGGGCUCAACCUGGGAACGGCAUCCGGAACUGUCAAGCUAGAGUGCAGGAGAGGAAGGUAGAAUUCCCGGUGUAGCGGUGAAAUGCGUAGAGAUCGGGAGGAAUACCAGUGGCGAAGGCGGCCUUCUGGACUGACACUGACACUGAGGUGCGAAAGCGUGGGUAGCAAACAGGAUUAGAUACCCUGGUAGUC
rnacentral:rRNA from 1 species